UACGGGGGGGGCAAGCGUUGUUCGGAAUUACUGGGCGUAAAGGGCUCGUAGGCGGCCAACUAAGUCAGACGUGAAAUCCCUCGGCUUAACCGGGGAACUGCAUCUGAUACUGGAUGGCUUGAGUUCGGGAGAGGGAUGCGGAAUUCCAGGUGUAGCGGUGAAGUGCGCAGAUAUCAGGAGGAACACCAGCGGCGAAGGCGGCGCUCUGGGCCGGAACUGACGCUGAGGAGCGAAAGCGUGGGUAGCAAACAGG
rnacentral:rRNA from 1 species